rnacentral:rRNA from 1 species
UACGGGGGGAGCAAGCGUUGUUCGGAUUUACUGGGCGUAAAGGGCGCGUAGGCGGCCACCGCAAGUCGACUGUGAAAUCUCCGGGCUUAACCCGGAAAGGUCAGCCGAUACUGCGGGGCUAGAGUGCAGAAGGGGCAACUGGAAUUCUCGGUGUAGCGGUGAAAUGCGUAGAUAUCGAGAGGAACACCUGCGGCGAAGGCGGGUCUCUGGACAGUUCCUGACGCUGAGGCACGAAGGUCAGGGGAGCAAACGGG